GACGAACCGGCCGAACGUUAUUCGGAAUCAUUGGGCUUAAAGGGUGCGUAGGCGGUGCGGUAAGUUGGGUGUGAAAUCCCUCGGCUCAACCGAGGAACUGCGCUCAAUACUGCCGUGCUUGAGGAAGACAGAGGCGAGCGGAACUGAUGGUGGAGCGGUGAAAUGCGUUGAUAUCAUCAGGAACACCAGUGGCGAAAGCGGCUCGCUGGGUCUUUUCUGACGCUGAGGCACGAAAGCUAGGGUAGCGAACAGG
rnacentral:rRNA from 1 species